AGGAACGCGAAGAACCUUACCAGGUCUUGACAUCCUUUGAAGCUUUUAGAGAUAGAAGUGUUCUCUUCGGAGACAAAGUGACAGGUGGUGCAUGGUCGUCGUCAGCUCGUGUCGUGAGAUGUUGGGUUAAGUCCCGCAACGAGCGCAACCCUUAUUGUUAGUUGCCAGCAUUCAGUUGGGCACUCUAGCGAGACUGCCGGUGACAAACCGGAGGAAGGCGGGGACGACGUCAGAUCAUCAUGCCCCUUAUGACCUGGGCUACACACGUGCUACAAUGGCGUAUACAACGAGUUGCCAACCUGCGAAGGUGAGCUAAUCUCUUAAAGUACGUCUCAGUUCGGACUGCAGUCUGCAACUCGACUGCACGAAGUCGGAAUCGCUAGUAAUCGCGGAUC
rnacentral:rRNA from 1 species